UUGAAAGCUUCCAUGCGGUUACAUCAAAGAGCCAAGUUCCAUUCUCUACCCACAGUUCUCUAGAGGAGCAAGGACAUUCUUGGAAAACCACAGAAUGUACUGACAUAGUCACCUCACCCUCUGCUUCCAGAGAGAGUUUGAAUGCAUGUCAUAUGCUUGGUAGCCAAUAGACUCAAAGGUCAAUAUACUUAGCCAAUAAGUUUAAACUGUUAUCUUGCUGAUGUAACCUGUAACCCUAAAAAGUAUAAAAACUGCUUGUUAUAGCCAUUCUGGGUCGCCUUCCAGUCACUUGCCAUGAGGGGCUGAUUGGAGGUUGACCCCGACGUGCCAGAAAAUAAACCUCUUGUGUUUGCAUCGAA
rnacentral:lncRNA from 1 species